AUUGAACGCUGGCGGCAUGCCUUACACAUGCAAGUCGAACGGCAGCACGGGUGCUUGCACCUGGUGGCGAGUGGCGAACGGGUGAGUAAUAUAUCGGAACGUACCUUAUUGUGGGGGAUAACGCAGCGAAAGCUGUGCUAAUACCGCAUAAUCCCUAAGGGGGAAAGCGGGGGACCGUAAGGCCUCGCGCAAUUAGAGCGGCCGAUACCUGAUUAGCUAGUUGGUGAGGUAAAGGCUCACCAAGGCAACGAUCAGUAGCUGGUCUGAGAGGACGAUCAGCCACACUGGGACUGAGACACGGCCCAGACUCCUACGGGAGGCAGCAGUGGGGAAUUUUGGACAAUGGGGGCAACCCUGAUCCAGCAAUGCCGCGUGAGUGAAGAAGGCCUUCGGGUUGUAAAGCUCUUUUGUCAGGGAAGAAACAGCAGCUCUAACACAGUUUGCGAAUGACGGUACCUGAAGAAUAAGCACCGGCUAACUACGUGCCAGCAGCCGCCGUAA
rnacentral:rRNA from 1 species